rnacentral:rRNA from 1 species
CACGCAGUAAACGAUGAAUGCUGGCUGUCCGGGGGGACUGACCCCUGGGUGGCGAAGCGAAAGCGAUAAGCAUUCCACCUGGGGAGUACGCCGGCAACGGUGAAACUCAAAGGAAUUGACGGGGGCCCGCACAAGCGGAGGAACAUGUGGUUUAAUUCGAUGAUACGCGAGGAACCUUACCCGGGCUCAAACGGGGAGUGACUCAGGCAGAGACGCCUGUUUCCCACGGGACACUCCCCGAGGUGC